rnacentral:rRNA from 1 species
ACCUUACCUACCCUUAACAUCCCGUGCUAGUGUCAGAGAUGAUAUGUCCUCUUCGGAGGCGCGGAGAUAGGUGCUGCAUGGCUGUCGUCAGCUCGUGUCGUAAGAUGUCUGGUUAAGUCCAAUAACGAGCGCAACCCCUAUCCUUAGUUACCAUCAUUAAGUUGGGGACUCUAGGGAGACUGCAGGUGUUAAACCUGAGGAAGGCGGGGAUGACGUCAAGUCCUCAUGGCCCUUACGGGUAGGGCCACACACGUACUACAAUGGCAGAGACAAACCGUUGCGAUACCGCAAGGUGGAGCUAAUCGGUAAAACACUGCCUCAGUUCGGAUUGAAGUCUGCAACUCGACUUCAUGAAGUUGGAAUCGCUAGUAAUCGCUGAUCAGCAAGCAGCGGUGAAUACGUUCCCGGGCCUUGUAUACACCGCCCGUCACACCACGAAAGUGAUCACCACCAGAAGCAGGUAAGCUAACGCAAGAGG